AACGAACGCUGGCGGCAUGCCUAACACAUGCAAGUCGAACGAGACCUUCGGGUCUAGUGGCGCACGGGUGCGUAACGCGUGGGAACCUGCCUUUAGGUUCGGAAUAACUCAGAGAAAUUUGAGCUAAUACCGGAUAAUGUCUUCGGACCAAAGAUUUAUCGCCUUUAGAUGGGCCCGCGUAAGAUUAGCUAGUUGGUGGGUAAAGGCCUACCAAGGCGACGAUCUUUAGCUGGUCUGAGAGGAUGAUCAGCCACACUGGGACUGAGACACGGCCCAGACUCCUACGGGAGGCAGCAGUGGGGAAUAUUGGACAAUGGGCGAAAGCCUGAUCCAGCAAUGCCGCGUGAGUGAUGAAGGCCUUAGGGUUGUAAAGCUCUUUUACCCGGGAUGAUAAUGACAGUACCGGGAGAAUAAGCCCCGGCUAACUCCGUGCCAGCAGCCGCGGUAAU
rnacentral:rRNA from 1 species